rnacentral:rRNA from 1 species
UACGUAGGGGGCAAGCGUUGUCCGGAAUCAUUGGGCGUAAAGAGCGUGUAGGCGGUCUGUUGCGUCGGCUGUGAAAACCCGAGGCUCAACCUCGGGCCUGCAGCCGAUACGGGCAGACUAGAGUUCGGCAGGGGAGACUGGAAUUCCUGGUGUAGCGGUGAAAUGCGCAGAUAUCAGGAGGAACACCGGUGGCGAAGGCGGGUCUCUGGGCCGAUACUGACGCUGAGGAGCGAAAGCGUGGGGAGCGAACAGG